GCCAGCAGUUCGGCUGGGCGACUCUAAAGGGACUGCCGGUGUUAAACCGGAGGAAGGUGGGGAGUGACGUCAAGUCCUCAUGGCCUUUAUGACCAGGGCUACACACGUACUACAAUGGCCGAUACAAAGGGCAGCGACACUGCGAGGUGAAGCCAAUCCCGUAAAAUCGGUCUCAGUCCGGAUUGGAGUCCGCAACUCGACUCCGUGAAGUUGGAAUCGCUAGUAAUCGUGGAUCAGCAUGCCACGGUGAAUACGUUCCCGGGCCUU
rnacentral:rRNA from 1 species